rnacentral:lncRNA from 1 species
UUCAGCCCCUAGCCCAGGAACUUCCAUAUGCUGAAGGUGAGGCUAUAAAAAGAAAAUAAAAGGAGUAACUGGCAAAAUACAGUAUCAAAAUUCAUAGAAGCGCUUAGAAAAAUAGCUAAAACAUGGGCAGAGAGAAGUUAUGAAUGACACUUUCUCUCCUAAAUGUCUAGAGCUCAUUUGGACAUCUUAAAGGUACUUUCACAAAAACUAAAUCUUAAAAGGAUAGAAUUCCCAUCAGCUUCCUAGGUUCUGUUUUCAAAACACUAAAGGGAAUUGAGUUUAUUGCUUAGAGUUUUAGAUACAUGCUAAGAAUAUUCACAUUGCUAACAUUAAAGCCAGCCCAGCUUAAAUGUUUCAUAAAAAACCCAACUGCUAUUGUUCCUAAAUCCAAGAAAGUGUUCAAAUUGAUCUUGUCUGUUUAGAAUUGCCUAUAAUAAAGCAAAAGUGUAAGCAAUAUCUAUUAGGAAAACUGCCAGUUUCAAGUUUUUAUUUCUCUCAGGAGUCUACAGAAGGAAAAACAAACAAACAAACAAACAAAAAACAGCCUUCUUUGCUCUUUCAUAGGAGGAGGACUUUUUCUAAAGAUAGAUAUCAACUAUCCAAGAAAAUAUAAAAAUUACUCUUUUGUGAGCUCUUACGGUAUUUAAGUACACCGAAUGCACCUGGUGUAUGUGUGUGUGUGUGUGUGUGUGUGUGUCAAUUAUCUAUUGCUACAUUAAAGAUGACCCCCAAAUUUUUUAUCUCCCACAGUUUCUAGGGUCAGGAAGUCAGCAGUGGCUCAGUUGGGUCGUUCUGACUCAUGGGCUUGUGGUCACGCAGUCAGCUGGGCUGAGGACUUCUAAGGGCUUGAGUGGAGCUGGAGAAUCUGCUCAAGCUUAUUCAUGUGGCUAUUGACAGGCCUCAGUCCCUCAUCACCUGGGAUUCUCCAUGGGGCUGUUCAUUGCAUGGCGGCUGGCGGUGCUCAGAGAUGGGUCCUGCUACAGUGGGGGAGAGGGCCCUACAAGGGUAUAAACACGAGGAGGAGACCACCUCAGAAGGUCCGUAGCAUUCAGUCCUCUUCCUACCUAGGAAUUGUUCUCCGUGGCUCUUGGUUAGACUUUCUGAGCCUUCCUUUCUUUUUCAUGAAAGUUGGUAAAUGGGUGCAUUUGAAUAAUUUCCCAAACCUUCAGUAGACUGGUGGGAGGUUGGAGGGAGCCUCUUUUCAUUUUUUGCUCUUUCUAUCCCUUUUGGUUCUAGUUGGCAGUGUUGCUGCAAAUAAAAGUUUUUGUGAAUCUCCUGGAAACUGUAUC